UACGGAGGGUGCGAGCGUUGUCCGGAAUCACUGGGCGUAAAGGGCGCGUAGGUGGCGCGGCAAGUCAACGGUGAAAGCUCGACGCUCAACGUCGAGUCGGCCGUCGAUACUGCUGGGCUUGAGCACUGUAGAGGCAGAUGGAAUUCCGGGUGUAGCGGUGGAAUGCGUAGAGAUCCGGAAGAACACCGGUGGCGAAGGCGGUGAGCUGGGCAGUAGCUGACACUGAGGCGCGACAGCGUGGGGAGCAAACAGG
rnacentral:rRNA from 1 species